GGCGGUAACCCUUCUGAGCUAAAUUAGGCGGGGGUGUAAGGGUAGCAGGGCACUUUAGUGCGAGGACCUGCUUCCUGUCUAGGGAGUGGAGUGGUUAAGGUGUGAUGAGUGCUUUAACAAGCAUCUCUCAUUGGCUCAACCACAUACACCUGCGACAAGGCCCACCUGCCAUGGCACAAGGGCUUCCCACCUCCGUGUGAGCCCUUGUUGUUUUUCUAUCACUCCUGAGCUA
rnacentral:siRNA from 1 species